rnacentral:rRNA from 1 species
GACUUUGAGCCUGCUUGUGUAGGAUAGGUGGGAGGCUUUGAAGCGUGGACGCCAGUUCGCGUGGAGCCAUCCUUGAAAUACCACCCUGGCAUGCUUGAGGUUCUAACUCUGGUCCGUGAUCCGGAUCAAGGACAGUGUAUGGUGGGCAGUUUGACUGGGGCGGUCUCCUCCUAAAGAGUAACGGAGGAGUACGAAGGUGCGCUCAGACCGGUCGGAAAUCGGUCGCAGAGUAUAAAGGCAAAAGCGCGCUUGACU